UUACACCACUUGUCACCCGAGAAGAGUCUUAGAGUUAAAAGAUGAGAACAUCUUACCGUCUGGUAUUGAUGAAUUACGUUACGGACAUCCGGGUAUUUUUACACUCGAGGGAUGCGCACAGUUUUCCAGAGAGAGCACUUUCCGAGGCACCUACAAAACGCCCAAUGUACCGAACUUUAGGGAGCAAGGUGUGAGAAGAGAACUGCUUGAAAAAAUGAUGUCAAAGGAAGCGCAUGCAAAAAUAAUGGAUGGCAUCAACCCUAAAGCUUAUCAGGCAGAUUAUAAAUCAAUGACAGAAGAAUCUUACCAUCGAGAUUUUGUUUGCGAAGCACCAAAACCUACCAAG